rnacentral:lncRNA from 1 species
UCAGCCAAUCUACCUUGCGUCUGGUGUUCACAAAGAUAACACUCUGGGUGAUUGCCAAAGUUUCAUAAAGAUCACAUAGUGUCUCGAGCUUCCAGUCCUCCUUGUCUACAUUGACAAAAAAUUGCUUGAUCCCCUCCAAGGUAAGCUCAUCACGUUUUACUAGAAUCCUCACAGGUUUGUUCAUAAACUUCCUUGUGAUUUCCAGGGCUUCAGGAGGCAUUGUGGCAGAGAAAACCCCAACCUGGAUCUUAGGUGGCAGCAGCUGAAAAAUAUCAUAGAUCUGGAAGGUGGUAAAAAACAAAGUCAAAAUUCAGAAGGAUACACUUUAUGAACCAAAAGGCAGAUAAAGUUGAAGGUAUUUGUAUUUCAUAUUAAACAUGGACAUGCUACCAAUGCAGACCACAAACCAAAACAUAUAAUUUUCAAAAGGCAAAUAUUAAGUAUUUAAAGCUUCUUGCCUAUAAGAACAUUAAAAACUAACACUUAGUGAAAAAGAUAAUUUAAGUUGCCCCAAAUAAUAGUCUCAUGCAUUUUUUUUCUUCCAAAAUUCAUAGAGAUAAAAGAUGAAUAUAUGAAAGAAAACAAGAGAGUUAAGAGACAGAACCAGGAUUUCUAUUUCUCCUAUUCUUUCAGCUCCAAAAUCUAGUCAAUAUGCACUUUGGCAUCUUUAACAGGCUACUAUAUUGUUGUAGUGUAUCUAGUACAUCAAAAUGUACUGUUUGACAAACCACAACUUAUUGAUAGCCAUUAUAGCUCAGUUAUCGGCAUACAUUUGGUGAAAAUUCAAAUAAAAACACUAAAUAUUAUUUUUAAGCCAAAAUCGUAUUCCAACACAACAAACAAUAGAAUGAAGCAAAUAAAAGAGAGCAACAUGGGAAAAUGAGAGGACCUGAUCCUUGAAACCUCGAGAGAGCAUCUCAUCUGCCUCAUCCAAUACAAACAUCCUGAUGUUAUCAGAGCGCAAUGAUUGCCUGCGCAGCAUGUCAAAUACACGUCCAGGAGUACCAACAACAACAUGAACCCCACUUGAGAGGAUGCGUUGAUCUUCACGAACACUGGUCCCACCAACACAAGCAUGAACCUUGACACCAAGAUAGUCCCCUAGUGCUCGCAUGACCUUUUCAAUUUGUUGUGCAAGUUCACGAGUGGGAGCAAGAACCAGUGCCUGGCAUUCUACUAAGCUGUAAUCAAGCUGCUGCAAAACUCCAGAACAAAAGGUAGCAGUUUUUCCAGUUCCAGAUUGUGCUUG